UAUAACAGAAUCGUAUUUAAGAGAAGAAAAAAACAUACAUACCAAACAAGAAAUGUAAAUGGAUUAACUGAAGAAGAUUAAAUGCAAAUGUAACUGUUUCAAGAAAAUAGAACGCGAAACGGAAACAUGGAAAGUGAUAUAUUACUAAUAAUAAUAAAGAAGCAGAAAACAACAAAAGCAAGAAAAUGACUCCACAUCCUCGAUCUAAAUGCAAAUCAGUCCACAAAAUUCAAUCAUGCAAAAUUGAAGGGAACAACACCUUCCAAAUUAUACUCCAACAACUUCUCAGUGGAACACUGUAUAAGCUACAGCAAAUCACAAAUUAAGACCAAAAUUCAGAGAAAAGAGAAUUCCAUUACUAACG
rnacentral:misc_RNA from 1 species